GGGCUUCGCGCUCUCGGGGGCCUCGGCCCCCACUCUUCACCCUGUGUGUACCUACCUUUGUUGCUUUGGCGGACCUCGGGGGUUCUCCUCCGCGUCGGCUUUCGGGUCGAUGAGCGUCCGUCAGGGGCCCAUUUACAUUCUGUUUAUCAGUGUCGUCCGAGUAUAAAAUGAAUAAAUAAAAACUUUCAACAACGGAUCUCUUGGUUCCAGCAUCGAUGAAGAACGCAGCGAAAUGCGAUAAGUAAUGUGAAUUGCAGAAUUCAGUGAAUCAUCGAAUCUUUGAACGCACAUUGCGCCCCUCGGUAUUCCGGGGGGCAUGCCUGUUCGAGCGUCAUUACACCUCUCAAGCUUCGCUUGGUAUUGGGUCCCUCGCCCUCGAGGCGUGCCCGAAAAGCAGUGGCGGUCCGGCGUGACUUUAAGCGUAGUAAAUUACCAUCCCGCUUUGAAAGUUCGCGUUGUGGCUCGCCAGACAACCGUCAUGUAGAAGGUUUACCCGUCUAUAUGCUUCCAAUAUUUGACCUCGGAUCAGGUAGGGAUACCCGCUGAACUUAAGCAUAUCAAUAAGCGGAGGAAAAGAAACCAACAGGGAUUGCCUCAGUAACGGCGAGUGAAGCGGCAACAGCUCAAAUUUGAAAUCUGGCUCCUUCGGGGUCCGAGUUGUAAUUUGUAGAGAGUGCUUCGGGGGAGACCGCGGUCUAAGUCCGUUGGAACAUGGUGUCAUAGAGGGUGAGAAUCCCGUAUGUGACCGCGGCUCGAACCCAUGUGAAGCCUCUUCGACGAGUCGAGUUGUUUGGGAAUGCAGCUCAAAAUGGGUGGUAAAUUUCAUCUAAAGCUAAAUACUGGCUGGAGACCGAUAGCGCACAAGUAGAGUGAUCGAAAGAUGAAAAGCACUUUGGAAAGAGAGUUAAACAGUACGUGAAAUUGUUGAAA
rnacentral:rRNA from 1 species